UCCUGUGACAUUUUCUCCAAAUCGGAAAAAAAUGAAGUGUAGGUCGAGCUUUGCCGCGGGCCGCGCUCGCUCCGCUCUUUCGGAUUCGGAGAGCGGGAGCGGGCUGCGCCGUCCACCCUGGUGCUGAGCCUCGGGGCAGUGCUGGAGGAGGGGGCGGGCCGGCGUCCCCGGGACUGGCCGUCCCCCUAAGGCAAGGCCGAAGGUGCCACGAGGCCGAGGUCCAGUUCGUCGCCGGCCUCCCGGGCUCUCCAAACGGCCUGCGGGGGGUCAAGUGCGUUCUCGCUGGGGACAAGUGCAGCCGUCCGCUCCAGAACGACGUCUCCCGGUGCCUAGCUCUGUCCCGGGAGCUCAGAGUGACCCACCGCCCUGAGGUCCCCGCUCCCCGCCUCCCUGUCGUGUCGGGCCAAUCGUCUGCCCAGGCGCGCGGGCUCGGGAGAGCAGCUGCCCCGGGCCCCUUCCACCCGGGACGGGUAUGGCCGGGCCGGGCCCAAAGAGAAGAGUCUCCUCGGCGCCCACCGUGGAGGCUCCGCCGGGAACAGAGCGCACCCUCCUCUGCACGCUGCUCCAGGGGGACCCUGCCCGGCAGGAAAAGGCUGGAGCGCAAAGCCCCGGCUGGCCUUUGCUGGCCACCCUGACUUGGCAGAAGAGAAGUGGCCUCCACCCACGUCUCCCUUCCCCUCAGCGCCACAAGCAGAUUCAGCGACUCCAUAUCCUGGCUGCAGUCUCCAGCCUCACAGAGCGCAGUCCCUGAGGCUGCAGGAUUCUCCUUUGCAAGUCAGCACCUGAGGAUCUCUGUUCCGAGCUUCAUUCCUCUAGGUCCAAGGGCCCAGAAGAAAAGCCUGGAGCCAUACGCUCACCUGGGUGAAGCCGUAAAGAGAUCUUCGAGAACUGGUUUCUUCCUUCUGAGCCAUGUGCAGUUCUGGAGACCCAGCCUCAGCCACCGGGAAUCUGCUGCUGUAAUUGUAGACCCUGCAACCAAUCAUGUUUCCUCUUGCACUAGUCCUUGGUGGAAAGCCCAGGACUUGGUUCGCCUAUCAUUUGGGCAGAGCAAACCUCAAGUGCAAGGCCCCACAGCUGUUUCCCUCCCUGCCGUCUUUUCGAGGCUUGGCUAAGCAUCUGAGAGAAGCGAUUUAAGGGAGAAGGGGUUUGCUUUGGCUCAUGAUUCAGAGGGUCCAUCAUGACAGGGAAAGCACGGCAGCUGGAGUGUGGACUAAAGCUCUGUGGCAGAAGCUUCCCACAUGAUGCUGACCAGAAACGAACAACCAUAUACUCCAAAAAACAAAAAAACAAAGAAAUCUGGACCGCGGCCCUCAAACAAUUAUCACCAGAGACUCUCCUCUGCCAGCACGCUUCCUGCUACAAAGGUGCUGGAACCUCCAGGGUGUUGAACACCAGGGAUUCAAACACAUGAGCCUAGAUAGGACAUUUCAUAGUCAGCAAAACAGUGGAACUGAAACACAGAGUAGAAGCCAGAGAGGACACUGACUCUACAUCGAAAUCAAUGGCUCUCGAAGGACUGCUACUUGCCAUUCAAACCUCAGACAGCUGCCAUUUUAUGCUUUAAAGGCUACUUUGAGUGACACCUUUAAUAAUGUAUUGAGUGAUAACAGUUCAACAGUAAGCAAAGCUCAGCUAUCAUAAGCUUAUUGAAUACAAAUAUCCAACAUUCAGAUGUGCAACUAACGACACAGACAGUUCAUGACCUCACGCAGUGUCUUUGUCGGACCCUCAUGGGUGGGGUGACAGGACACAGAAGAUGUGGGUGUUUUAGACUGCUAAAGGGUUUUGUUUUACUGGGGAGAUGGCUCAGCCAGUACAGUGCUGGCAGCAGUAGCAUGGGGACCUGAGUCCGAGCCCCGGAAUCCAUAUUAAAAGGAGUCGGGUAUGGUGGCACAUGCUUGCCAUGCUAAUGCUCAGGCUCCUUAGGGCUCAAAUGCCAGUCAGUGUGGUGAGCUCAAGCCCAGUGAGCAAGCUGAUGGCGCCUUAGAAGGGACAUUCGAGUUGAUCUCUGUCCUCCGUACACAAAUGCACACAAAUACAGGUGCACAGAAGACUUCUAUUUUAGAAUUCAUGUUCAUAAAGAAGAGCAGAGGUGGAUAAUUAUGAAGACAGCAUAGAAAAUAGUUCUGGUUCUGGUGCAAUAUUCCAGCAGCUUUGACCUUUGACAGUUACAGAGAGACUUUUUGGUUUAAGUGUUUUCCCCUUCAAUGGUGAUAAGAGUUUUUCCACCUUCUAUACAUAUUAGGUAAAUUAUGCCUUAGAUAAAAUAGGUUUCCUGUGAGACAGUUGCACCCAACUAUAAGUCACUGUCAAGUCCCUAAGCACGUUUGAGGUUGGGGAGGUAAAGCUGUGGUCCUGGACAGGUUGGGCAGAUUGAACACACCUGAUAGAUUGGGCUUGUGGUUGGUCUGUUGGUGUAGAGUCCUGUCAUGAGUUAAAGCCUCUUCACUAGGACCAUUGACAACUAAAGCAACUGUUUCCUUGGGGGACAUAGCACUGCACACUCCACGCACUGAGGAAGAACUGCAAAUGCCAGAAGGGAGUCCAAGCACCAGAAAGUCCUUUCUUAAAAUGCUGCUCUAUGGGCUGUGGACUCCAGAAGUCAUAGACACGGGUUCCAGAAAUUCCUCCUGUGUAGAAGCUCUGGCCUAGACUGGUGGUGCAGAGCACCCCUCAGCAGGAAUGAUGGCUCCCCAGGCCACGCACACUCCACCAGCACAGACCUGACGCGCGGGCUUCUCUUCUGGAAACACUUGACUCGCAGCCAGUCACAGACCCCGAGAAUGGAACCCUGUAAGAACGAGUGCAUUGGGAAUAAAGACGCACCAAUGCACAGCUGUCAGGACAUCCUCACCAAUGACGGCGAGGCCAGCGUUCCCUCCUACAGCCUGGUUUGAACUCUGCCUUACCAAAGGGGGAAAAAUUCUUAUUGUGUUUAUCCAGAAUCUAGGCCACAUCACACUUCUCUGGUUGGCAUGCCACAUAGCAUGACCCGUAAAAUGUAAACACACUAGAAAAAUAAACGAUAUUCUGUAUAUUGCCAAUGUUACUAAUGAGUUCAGCAAAGGACAAAUAUGAGUUGAAAAAUAUCUUGGGAGAUACCCAUUGAGACAGAUUUCGGUGCCUCUGUUGGGGCCUUCAGCUUGAAAGCAGUUUGUGGGGUACUGACGGCCCCUCAGGAGAGUGAUGUCUACUUGACAUGGGAUUGAAGUCUCUGCUUUCUUCUGCUCUGCCCUUUGGUCAAAGUUAAAGAUAGGUGAGUUCAAGUUUGGUCUGAAAUACUGUGACCCUCAGCUCCAUGAUCAAAGUGCCCUGUAGGCAUUUGAGCGGAAGCCAGCAAAAUUCAGGCUGAGCUUCUGGCAGGUUCUCUGAGUGCGUCUCAGCCACAUGAAGGGGUUCGCUGAGUUUGAUCUUGAACUGUGCACUUCUGCGGAGUCGACAGUCUCUUUGGUUGCUAAGCCCUGCUUGGCAGAGCUCUGCUUUAAUUAACAUGGCCCUCGGGUCUAUUCAGGUUCCCAUGUUUCAGCAUCUCACUGGGUGGAACCUUAUCUUUCCAUUCUGCACGCAUGAUGGAUCUAAACCAGUACAGGUGAAGUCUAUCUUUGACCCAACAGCUGGAUUACUUCCAGGUUUCAUAACCUCAGCAGAGAAGUCCAAAAACCUCAGCUCUUAUCGUUUGCCAUUUUAUGGAGCUGCCAUGGUGGAUGGGAAGCCAACAAUGCCAGUACUGACGGAUUAAACUUUAUGCCUCCACUAAAUGUACGUGCUUAGAGGCAGAUGGUGCUUGGGGUAAGAGUGGGAUGCCUUUCAGAAGGGGAAGGGGCAAAUGGCUGACCUCUGGACACUAAGCGACAUAAAUAAAGGAAGGAGACAUAAUAUUUCCUUUCCAUUUGGGAAAAAAUCAUUUCAGCAAAAGCAGGGAUGGAUCCCAGUAUCAAAAGGAACACGAUGUCUGCAGUAUGUCACAAAUCAGUUCUAAGUCGUCUUCAAUAGUCCCAGUACCAACUUACUUCUCUAUUUUCAUUUCACAAGCCUUUCUCUUCAAAUCAUAGUACUCCCUCACACUCUCCAAUUUUUUUCUUUAAAAUCAUACCCAUUAGCAUACCAAGGAACUAAUAUUCAAAACUCAUCUGCCUUGGGAAUACAUGAUGGCCUGAGCAAAAGAAGGGCAUUAUGUGACCGUGGGUAAACUGUAAUGGGACACAAAGUAAGUAGCCAUAGAGGCAGUGAUCUGUAAUUUGUCUAGAAUGACUUGAGUCAGCCUCAGGUCACUUGAGGUAACUUCAGUCAGCAGGGAGUUGGUAGGUGCUUGGAUUAUUUGGCAUGUCAUCUGCCCUCAUCAUGGGCUUCAUAGACCGUUCCCUGACACUAUUUAUUCUUCCCUGCAAGACUUAUGAAUAGUAAGCUUCUCGGUUAAUACGACAUCAAAAAGGUAUUGUCACAUGUUUUGCAAGACCAGGGACUGCAGAGAGUCUCUGACUGUGUCUUUCCGAUGUGAAAUGACAUUGAAAGACCUCACCCUCCACACACACAAAGCAUGUGUUCAAGGAUUGGUCCCCGGGGCAGUAUGUGGAAGUAGGACUUUCCGGAAGUGACUCUACUGUGAGGUGUCUGGCCAAAUCAAUGGUUUGAUCUGUUGAUAAAGCUGUAAUUUGACAGCAUUAUUUGGAGAAUGUGGGAAAGAGGAAACAAGCCUAUUUGGAGAUAGCAGGCCCCAGGGGAGUCUUGGUCAUUGUGCAUAUACCUUGUGCCAAGUCUCCGCGACCCCCACCUCUCUCUCUAAUGUGCUGUAGGCUCUUAGCUUCACCACCUGUUCACUGGUGCUCUGCCUCCCUGUGCACACUUGUGAAAACAAAAGUGUGUGACUGCGGACUGGACUCAAGAAACCAGGUGCCGAAGUGAACCCCCUCUUCCUUUAUGUUGCUUUCUCAAAAGCUUUGUGUCACAACCACAGAAAGUGACAGACACACCAUGAGUGAAAGGAAAGGUCUCCUGCACCUUGGAGGUGGAGAGUCUACGUUUCUGACUAUAAACAGACAAUGUGUCCUCUUAGUCGUUAGCUUCUUGUAAAUUUUCUAAAGGAUGGCUAUUUCCGAAUGUGUUGAAAAGCUCGUGGGCCUGACUUCUCUGUUUGCACGCUGUGGGUACUAGGUCACAGUGGAGUGCCGAAUUAAACAGGGUUAGUACCUAGUGCCUGCUGCAUCCUGAGCAUUACACGAGUCUAUUUAAGAUGCAGUUUUCUCUCUGCUGUGAUUUCAAAGAUCAGCAGAUAUCAACACAAUUCAUAAUGUUCUAGAGAGGUUAAAAUCCAUUCUCCAGGACGUCAUAUGCAUUACUUUCUUUUACUCAUCAUGCAAAAGGUACAAAAACUCACAGUAUUUUCUUAUCCUAUAAAACCAAAGAAGCCAAAACAAUACAAUGGAAAAAAGACAGCAUAUUCAACAAAUGGUGCUGGUCUAAUUGGAUAUCUACAUGUAGAAAAAUGCAAACAGAUUCAUAUUUAUCACCCUGAACAAAACUAAAAUCUAAGUGUAUCAAAGACUUCAACAUAAAACCAGACACACUAAACCUGUUAGAAGAAAAAGUGCAGAAGAGCCUUGAACUCAUUGGCACAGGAGACAACUUCCUGAACAGAGCACCAACAGCACAGGCUCGAAGAUCAACAAUCAAUAAAUGGGACCUCAUGAAACUGAAAAUCUUCUGUAAAUCAAAGGACACUGUCGGCCGAACAAAAGGACAGCCUACAGACUGGGAAAGGAUCUUCACCAGCCCUAGAUCUGACAGAAGGCUAAUAUCCAGAAUAUAUAAAGAACUCAAGAAGUUGAACAGCCAGAAACCAACUAAUUAAAAAGUGGGGUACAGAGCUAAACAGAGAAUUCUCAAUAGAGGAAUAUCAAAUGGCAGAAAAACACCUAAAGAAAUGCUCAACGUCCUUAGUCAUCAGGGAAAUGCAAAUCAAAAUGGCCCUCAGAUUUCACCUUACACCAAUCAGAAUGGCUAAGAUCAAAAA